rnacentral:rRNA from 1 species
AUUGAACGCUGAAGGCAGGCCUAACACAUGCAAGUCGAGCGGAUGAAGGGAGCUUGCUCCUGGAUUCAGCGGCGGACGGGUGAGUAAUGCCUAGGAAUCUGCCUGGUAGUGGGGGAUAACGUCCGGAAACGGGCGCUAAUACCGCAUACGUCCUGAGGGAGAAAGUGGGGGAUCUUCGGACCUCACGCUAUCAGAUGAGCCUAGGUCGGAUUAGCUAGUUGGUGGGGUAAAGGCCUACCAAGGCGACGAUCCGUAACUGGUCUGAGAGGAUGAUCAGUCACACUGGAACUGAGACACGGUCCAGACUCCUACGGGAGGCAGCAGUGGGGAAUAUUGGACAAUGGGCGAAAGCCUGAUCCAGCCAUGCCGCGUGUGUGAAGAAGGUCUUCGGAUUGUAAAGCACUUUAAGUUGGGAGGAAGGGCAGUAAGUUAAUACCUUGCCGUUUUGACGUUACCAACAGAAUAAGCACCGGCUAACUUCGUG